rnacentral:misc_RNA from 1 species
UAACGAUUUAGGGUAUCAGAACGGGUAUACUAGAUGCAAAAGGGUGUGAUGAGGUUCCAUCGGCGAGACACGGCAGGCCGAGGAAGAACAAGAGGUACGUAUAAAAGGGGGUGUGAGAAUAGCGCCUCGACGUGACAUUGCUGCCCGCGAAGAGGUGCUCUCGGUAAUGAUCCUUCCGCAGGUUCACCUACGGAAA